GGAAGCUACUCUGACUAAUGCCAAUUGUGAUGGCAACUGUCCGACAUCCAUGGCUUUACGUGAUAGAAUUGCAGCAUUGGUGACAGAGAACAAAACCCUCAAACAAGAAUUAGCACUGCAUCAGGUGUCAUUUGAUUAUACCUUAGGCUGUAUUGUUCCUUCGUGCCACGUAAACCGAAAUGCAAGCAGUUGUUUAGCCACAUGGUGUGGACAAGCGCUGUUGGACUAUGAGGACCAAGAACACCCUUCUGCCACAUGAUAUCAAUGUCAUGGUCGCUUCCGGUCCAGGCUAUUGAUACUUAUCGGCCCAUACUCUGUUCCAUCUUGGCGUUGCAGGGAUAGAAUAAUGUAGCAAUAUGCUCGUCAAGGCCAUCGACAUCCAACUGAUGCAUUUCCCUGGUCUCACCCUUUUUCAGUAGAAACCUUUUUUGUGUCAUUUACUUUUUUUAAUGUGUUUUUGUUUUCUUCUUUGAUGAUGUACUGUCUGACAUCAGAAAGCUCAAUGUUUUUAAAAUCAUUUGGAAUUGACUGGGUAAAAUGUUUGGCUUCAUUUUGAUCUGUUGUAAUUUUGAUAAUCAUAAUUUGACACAGGGGGAGUGGUCUCAGUUAAAUCCUCGUCAAAUUGAAGUGCAUUUAUUCCAUAUUUUUGCUCAAAUUCUUCAAAACUUAUUUUCAAAACAUCUUGAAUAGUGUCAUUUGAAAACAAACCAUCCCAUACCACAUAAACAUUCGCUUGUUCUUGGUUGAAAAUUGUUGUCAAAAUUUACUUAAUUUGCCGAAAUAUGUUUUGCUGCAGUUUUAUUUAAAUUCUUGAUUGUGUAUUAUUUAUUUUUUCAUUAUUUAAAGCACAAUUGACAUUUAAGACUUAAGCAGACAUCUUGUUUUGCUGCUGAGAUAUUAAAUA